rnacentral:rRNA from 1 species
AACGAACGCUGGCGGCAAGCUUAACACAUGCAAGUCGAACGCACCUAGCAAUAGGUGAGUGGCAGACGGGUGAGUAACGCGUGGGAACAUGCCCUUUGGUUCGGAAUAGCACAUGGAAACGUGUGGUAAUACCGGAUAAGCCCGAGAGGGGAAAGAUUUAUUGCCAAAGGAUUGGCCCGCGUCCGAUUAGCUAGUUGGUAGAGUAAUAGCCUACCAAGGCGACGAUCGGUAGCUGGUCUGAGAGGAUGAUCAGCCACAUUGGGACUGAGACACGGCCCAAACUUCUACGGAAGGCAGCAGUGGGGAAUAUUGGACAAUGGGCGCAAGCCUGAUCCAGCUAUGCCGCGUGAGUGACCAGAAGGCCUUAGGGUUGUAAAGCUCUUUCAGUAGUGAAGAUAAUGACGGUAACUACAGAAGAAGCCCCGGCUAACUUCGUGCCAGCCGCCGCCGUAA